UGGGAUAUUAUACCUGGUUAAGGGGUAGAAAUUCCAUAUUAAAGUUAGUUAGUUAGUUAGAUAGAUAGAGAAAGUAACAACGAGUGAAUGAGAAUAACGACGGAAGGGUUAAAAAGAGCGUAAAAAUUAUUGAAAGUGGGUAGAAAUAAAAACUACGUAGUAUAGUAAUACUACGCUAAGGUAUCUGUAGAAUGUUGAAUGUGAUUUCGGAAUAUAACGAGGAAAAAUUCAGAUCUUGGGAAUUUUCCGAAAGUCCUCUCCCCACCUCAAGAUUUUCCCCACAAAUUAUUUUAUAAUCGUAAUGUAUGCCGUUUGAAAAGUAUUUAAACAAAAUUUCAACCCCCCCCCAAAAAAAAAACACAUUUUCCUAACAGUUACAAAGGAAAAACUCGGGUCUUGUGAAUUUUCCGAAGUCCUCUCCUCACCCCUUUGGAAAAGAUUUUACUCACAAACUUCUUUAUAAUCGUAAUGUAUGCUAACCAAAUUAAAUAUCACAAGGGGGCAUCAGGAUUUUAGAAACGAUUCAGUGGGGCAUGGCAAAAAAUCGGUUGGGAAUCACUGCAGUAAAGGAUGUCUCCGUGGUUACUUAACCUGCUAAAAGUUGAAAAUAAAUCUCCUUGAAAUUAAAAUGUGAAUUAUAGUAAUGAGGGAUAUUAUUUUAUACAAAACCACAUUAAAAUCCAAAUCCCAAACCGAACAAAACACAAACAUGAACGAAGAAAGAAAAAGGAAAGGAAAAAGAAGUGGAAGAAAGAAAAAGAAAGAAAAUAAACAACAAUUUGAUAUCAAGUAUCUCAAAUGGUCGCACACCACAAGGUUUAACGGAGCCUACUGAAGCAAGGCAGCACACUCGUUAUAUUACCACGGGCGAUGGCAAGGCUAAGGCUAAGGCGUUAGAACAGCCAUGCACCCUCACGUUCUUCACCUGAGCCGUCAACAAUGACAAAAACUUCACUGUUCGUGAUUCAGCCCCUCCAAACAUCUCAAACGCCACAGGCUGGAAAAUGUGGUUCACUGCCAAGUCCCAAUACUUAAGAAAAUUAUUCCGUUCGGCUACAGAAGCAGUGACCCUUCCAUUUAUCGCGGCGUCCAGAAUGUGAGGAGCAAAGGAAUAACAGACUGUGACAUCCCAGAUGAAGCACCUACCUCUUCUCUUGCCCAGGGAUAAAAGGUGACAUGAAAUGAUGAAGAGAAUGAAUAUAUAUAUAUGUGAAAUAUGUUUAAUAACGAAAACUUUUCUUUACAUAGUGUCAAAAACAAUACAAAAACUUUCCAAGAAUAAAGACUGACAGAUUUGAAAAUGUAAUUUGGCAACAGAUAAAAAAUGAUUUAUUUAAAUAAAAAAUGAUUAUUUAAAUAAAAAAUGAUUUAUUUAAAUAAAUCAUUUAAAAAAUGAUGUAUUUAUUUAUAUAUUCAAAAACACAAAAGUCCACUAUUUCUGAUAUAGGCAAGUACUCGCUAGUGUAUGGCGCAGUAACAUCCGGAAAUGAAAAAAAUAUUGUUUUGUAGAAAGAAAAAAAAUAUUAUACUUUAUCUAAAAUUAAAAAAAAAAUAAGUAAUAAAAAUCUUAAUUCAAGUAUUCAUAAUUCUAAAGCAUUUUAUUUGUUAUAUUUUUGAUGCCAGUAAAUUACAAUCCCGGAUUUGGGUUGUAUUAUGGGCUACAAUUUCGCCAUGAUGUAAAGGAAUAAUAAUCCAUUCGACGUAAUAACAACGGUUAUGGGAUUGAGAUUAACAUGAGAACCAGAGAAGGAGACGAGGAAAAAAUGGUGAAAAUGUGAUAUUAGCUUUUCAUAAUUUGUUAAUAUUAUUGCCGAAUUUGAAGUUAUGUCACGGAAACGUGUCUAUGUGUUAGUCGGAACACCGAAUUGUAAACAUGGCUGUGAUCCAAGUAAUUGGCUUCAAAUGAACUGUUGCUUGCAACCGGUUUAUUCUUAAUACCCCAAAUCUGUUCUUACGACAGUUUUUUUUUCUUUUUAAACAGUAAUGAAUAUAUGUUAUUCACCGCACAUCGACAAUCUAUUUACUUUAUUUUCUGUACCCCGACACCUAUCACAGUCUUUCCUAACAUCGUUCUCCCCAGCAGGCUUCACUUACAAAACAGCCACCCUAGUAUAGUGCAUUAUUCUCUUAGAAAAAAUAAUAAAUAAAAUGAAAUAAAAUAGACAGUUACUGCAACUGUGUGUAUAUGUCGAAGGACUGUUACAAAUUUCGAUAAUGUCCUCAGUUGUUACUUCCAUUUCACCAACUUUGACGAAUAUUUUUUAGCUUUCAUCUCCAUCAGUCCAUCUAUUCCUGAUCACAUCUAACGUAUGCUGCAACGUGCACAAACGUUUUCCUUAACUUAGAAACACAUUCUAAAUAUUCCUAUUUUCAUUUUUUCUGCUGAAGAACAAAUCAAAACAACUGUCAUAGUUUUGGGUUUAUUACAUAACAUCGUAGUCCCCCCCCUCCAAAACAGAUCUAACCCAAACCUUCGGUUAUUUUAUUGAAGAUAUUAACUAAGCUGCCUACAAGAUUAGUGCAAUAUUAUGAAAUAGAGCACUGCUAACAUGUGUCCUGCGUACCAUAAGGGUGAAUUUCCAGAGAGGGUCGGUCAUCGAGUGUUAAUAUGACUGAUUGCUGUUUCUUCUACUCUGGAAACUUAAUUCCUCUCUGUUGUGGUUCUCGCCCUGGUUCAUACAGAGCAGCGGAUCUUUUUCUCUGCUACUCUUCUUCAUACACAGAAAACAAGUGUGAUUAGAGAAUAAAACCAAUAUUACAUUACUAAAAAAUACAAAUAGAAUUUAAACUUAUUUUGGUAAGUGUAUGUGUGUCCUGAAUAAGUGCAUGUCCGACUGUCUUUUUGACAAUUUCAUUACUGGGACAUAGAAAACAAUUCUUGAAACAACCCACCCACAAACACACAUUCACAAUGCAGAUCUGUAAGCUUUCCUUUUGAAUCUUUAAUUUCGCCAAGUUCAAGUUUUUUUGUGUAAACCAUAUUUUAACUUGUACUAUUGAAGGUCUCCCUUUGUGUGUGUAUGUGUAUAUAUUACUUUUCUUUUUAUUGUUUAUGUUUAGACUCUCCCACCAUGCUUUUAAAUUUCACUCGUAUGUAUUGAUGAUAAACAAAUUUCUUUAAAGUCUGUGAUAAUCCUAUUUCUGCUCUCACAUCCCUUUAAUUUUCUGUUCAGUUUUUAACAUAAACCUCUGCAGACAUGAAUCAAUCGAAUCCUCACAACAAUUAGCUGGUUUGACAAGGUCACUUAAAAACUUUUAUAAUUGACCGAAACGUGCCUUAUUGAUCUCACUUCAUCAUAAAAAUCUUUCUUUUUGUUGGGAGUUUAUAUUAUUUUUUUUCUCUUUUAAAAGGCAUUAUUCUUCAUCAUCAUCGUUACUGGCCUUUUCUUUCUGUUGUUGUUUACGUCGAAGUUUCCCUGACGUAUUUUCAUGAGUCAGGGUUAAAAUAAUUUUUUAAAAUAGCUAAAAACAAUAUCUAACGAAAAGACUAGCCCAAACACCAAAGAAAGAACCGUUAAUUGUACAGAUACCUGUUUCUUCUAUAAGAUACCAAGUGGAAAAAAAAA
rnacentral:lncRNA from 1 species